CAGCCGCCGCGGUAACACCAGCCCCUCGAGUGGUGGGGAUGAUUAUUUGGCCUAAAGCGACCGUAGCCGGCCGAGCAAGUCUUCCGUUAAAUCCAGCGUCUCAAGCGCUGGACCGCGGGAGAUACUACACGGCUAGAGAGUGGGAGAGGUCAGCGGUAUUCUGGGGGUAGGGGCGAAAUCCUUUGAUCCCCGGAGGACCACCAGUGGCGAAGGCUGCUGACUAGAACACGUCUGACGGUCAGGGACGAAAGCUGGGGUAGCGAACCGGAUUAGAUACCCGGGUAGUCCCAGCCGUAAACGAUGCAUGCUAGGUGUUGGGUUGGCCACGAGCCACCCCAGUGCCGCAGGGAAGCCGUUAAGCAUGCCGCCUGGGAAGUACGAUCGCAAGGUUGAAACUUAAAGGAAUUGGCGGGGGAGCAC
rnacentral:rRNA from 2 species